UUAUGAAGCCAACUGGGAAGACACAGCCCAGAAAAUGAUAGAGGACUUCUUCCCUGGAGCAGCAGAGAGACUCUGCAUUAGAACAUGAGGAAGAAAAGAGGCCCAGGAAAAGGAGGUAACUGAUUAUAGCAGUCAGCCCUUGCUCCAGUCAGCAGGUACCAUGCAGACAACAUGGAGUUUAUCUCAGAUCCUGCGGAAUGGAAGGUAUUGCAAUUUUGCUGGUAUCGGUGACCCGGCAUCUCUGAAUUAUUUCCUGCUUUGGUUUACAGAGGAAUAAGCCUGUAAUUAAUUAUAUAUCAGAACAUGAGAAUCGACCUGGCAAUGAUGUACAGGCUAAGAACGCUCUAUUUACAUAUGUAGGUUAUUUAAAAUAUGUUGUGUUAGAUAAAUAUUUAAAAUUCCUUCUUAUUUGGCUUAUAAAGUGCUCAAAAAGA